UGAACCUGGACCCAGCUGUGUGUCCAUCAAGAGUGACGGGUCCAUUAGUCGCUUCAUUGAAUUUAAAGAUGGACAUUUAUCAAACAAAAAGAUCCAUCAGAGACCAGACUCUGCUGGACCUGGACCUGAACCUGAACCCAGCUGUGUGUCCUUCAAGAGUGACGGGUCCAUUGGUCGCUUCAUUGAAU